rnacentral:misc_RNA from 1 species
GUGAAUCAUCGAAUUUUUGAACGCAAAUUGCACUCCCUGGUAUUCCGGGGAGUAUGCCUGUUUGAGGGUCGUUAGAAGAAAAAUUGAAGCUUCGAUUUUUUUUUGAGGGUGAUCGCGUCGGAUUUGAGCUGUCUUUCAAAUGUUAAUUCAUGUCAAAGUGGCUUAAAAUUCAUCCAUCCGGUUCGAUGAAUGCGUAUUUAAGACCAAUUAAGAUUAAG